rnacentral:rRNA from 1 species
UACGGAGGGGGCUAGCGUUAUUCGGAAUUACUGGGCGUAAAGCGCACGUAGGCGGACCAGAAAGUCAGAGGUGAAAGCCCGGGGCUCAACCCCGGAACUGCCUUUGAAACUCCUGGUCUUGAGGUCGAGAGAGGUGAGUGGAAUUCCGAGUGUAGAGGUGAAAUUCGUAGAUAUUCGGAGGAACACCAGUGGCGAAGGCGGCUCACUGGCUCGAUACUGACGCUGAGGUGCGAAAGCGUGGGGAGCAAACAGGAUUAGAUCCCCUGGUAGUCCACGCCGUAAACGAUGAAUGCCAGACGUCGGGUAGCAUGCUAUUCGGUGUCACACCUAACGGAUUAAGCAUUCCGCCUGGGGAGUACGGCCGCAAGGUUA